GGGUACUCAAAGUAUGGUUUCUACUGAAUGUGUAUAGCUUUUACAUCAUGGUAAAGGGGAAAAAGUAUAAGGACCCCCAUCAUACAUUGGGGACUGUGUAUAUAAUGUUUUCUAUGUGCUUGACAAUGUUCUAAGUGCAUUUCAUAUAUUAAUUCAUUUAAUCUCCACAACAACCAUAUGAAUUAGGUUGUUUUAUUUCAUAGGAAAUGGGGCACAGCACAGUUAAGUAAUGUGUUCAUAGUCACAGAGCAAGUAGCAGAUCAAGGAGUCAAACCCAGGCAGUCUGGCACCAAAGUACGUGCACUUCACAACAUUAUGCUGCCUUCCUCUUAUUAUUCUCAUGACAAACCAGAGUAACCAAAUACACCACACCGAUAAUGCCUAAUUUAGGUUAUCAGGACUUACUUGAAAGUUGCAAAGCGUGCCUAUUAUAGAAUUCAGCCCAAUAACUCCAGUUAUCUCUCCCUCUCCCCACUAAUUAAAGCUUCUCUUCAGUCUGCUUCAGGGAUCUCUUAACCACCAUUUUACAUGUUUCCAUGUGGAGGGCCUUAUCCUAGAGAAACACCUUAACUCUCUCUCUACCCUUUCUUACUACUCCCCAUGAAAGAAAAAUUGGGUUUAUCAGACAGGUGAAAUUGGAAGAAGGAACUGGGGUAUCUCUCGCCCUCUUCCUGCUCAGCAGGCCUGGGUGGCCAAACUCUGGAUAUUCUAAAGAAACGGUUGGCCUUUGACUGGUUCCUAGGAGAUAACCUCUAAGUUCUUGGAAUAUCUUGUCUGACAAAGGUACUUUUUUUUUUUCCUGGGGUCCUAGACCACACAGUAUCGGCUUGGUCUCUGAAGAAGCUAGAGACUGAAUAACUAAGGUCAGCCAGCCACACGACUGCACCUUGUCUACAAAACUGACCCCCCAAUAAAAAUGCUAAACAAACAGCAAGGCUCAGAUGAACUUCCCUAGUUGACAAUGCUUCAUUCAUGUUGUUAUUUAUCAUUGGUGGGAGAAUUAAGCGCUCUCCAUAGACCACCCUGGGAAAGGAAAAUAGGAAGCUUGCGUCUAGUCUCUCCUGGACUCUGCCCUAUGUACCUUUACUUGUUGCUGAUUUUAAUCUGUCCUUUCACUGUAAUAAACUAUAACCAUGAGUAUAACAGCUUUGCUGAAUUCUGUCAGUCCUUGUAGCAAAUUAUUGAAUCUGGAGGUGGUCUUAGGAACCCCUGACUACAGUUACUAAUUCGCAAAAGCUAUAACCAAACCAUAUGUUAAGCAUUUACUGUUUCUCACUGACAGAUUAUAUGAUUCUGAAAUCACCAGGUUAAUGCUACAAUCAGUUCCUGGGAUUCGAAGUUCAGCAACAAAAAUAUAAACCUAGAGAAGGUGGAGAAAGAAGCCAGGAAAAAGAUAAGCAAUUUCAGGGAUAUCUCUUUCUCCAAUUUUUUUUUAAAUUUGUUGUUUGUUCAUUUCUUUAAAAAAAAAUUGCCAGGUUUUUAUUUAAAAAAAAAUUUUAGGCCAGGCACGGUGGCUCACGCCUGUAAUCCCAGCAUUUUGGGAGGCCGAGGCAGGUGGACCACAAGGUCAGGAGAUCAAGACCAUCCUGGUAACAUGGUGAAACCCCGUCUCUACUAAAAAUACAAAAAAUUAGCCGGGCGUGAUGGCAUGUGCCUGUAGUCCUAGCUACUAGGGAGGCUGAGGCAGGAGAAUCACUUGAACCUGGGAGAAAGAGGUUGCAGUGAGCCGAGAUCGCGCCACUGCACUCCAGUCUGGGCGACAGAGCAAGACUCCAUCAAUAAAUUAAUUAAUUAAUUGGCUACUGGUACUCUACUGCUUUGACAAAACUCUCAAUAGGAAUAGGCAACUUUUCAUUAGUAAUUCUACCUUCGUUAGCAGAAAAUUGACCUUGGGGUUAUUUGGUAAAGCAGAAAUAAUGGCACUCUUCAUUUCAAAAAACAUUUUACGGAGCGCUUUAAAUCUUUAAAAGGUUAAUCAGAUAAAUAUACUUCCUGUCUUGAAAGAUCUUAUAUACAAUGAAGGACAUCAGCAAAGGAACAAACAAUAAAACUGAAAAGCAUAAGACACAACCAAAGGAAUACAGUUAACAUUAGUAUAAUUAAGAGAUUUUCUGUUAUUGUUUUUCUUCUCCUACUCCUUAAAUAUUAUGGUAAUGUGAUUUAAUUACCUGUUCACAAAUUCACAAACAAAAGGGACCAUUACUCAAGCUCUCUUUAAUUUUCACAAUAACCUUUGCAGUUUUACAGCUCCUAUAAAAUCUUAGGGAAGAAAUUCUGAGUUUUCUUUUCUGAAUCAUUAUUCCUUGAACUUAUACUGUAUAAGCCAGAUGUAAGUUUACAAAAUAUCACAUGUGAAAGUAUUGACAGAACACUGAUAAUACAGAAGAUAAAAGUGAAAUGCAUAAGAGCCUCCAAUAUUUUAAAAGUAAAAUAGCAGAUGGCUUGUUGCAGUGGCUCACACCUGUAAUCCCAGCAAUUUGGGAGGCCAACGUGGGCAGAUUAUCUGAGGUUAGGAGUUCAAGACCAGCCUGGCCAACAUGGUGAAACUCCCAUCUCUACUAAAAAUACAAAAAUUAGCUGGGCAUGGUGGCAGGUGCCUGUAAUCCCAGCUACUUGGGAGGCCAAGGCAGAGAAUUGCUUGAACCUGGGAGGCAGAGGUUGCAGUGAACCGAGAUUGCGCGAUUGACUGCACUCCAGCGUGGGUGACAGAGCAAGACUCUGUCUCAAAAAAAAAAAAAAAGGAAAAUAGCAGGCUCCUAAUUAUCUUGGAAAAUCCACUACAUAAAAUUCUGAUUUUAUUCUAUUUGCACAUUCAAGAAUUACUGAUAAUUUAAAGCAAGACUGUUGUAUUAGUCCAUUUUUAUGCUGCUGAUAAAGAUAUACCCGAGACUGGGGAAUUUACAAAAGACAGAGGUUUAAUGGACUUACAGUUCCAUAUGGCUGGGGAGGCCUCACAAUCAUGGCGGAAGGUGAAAGGCACAUCUCACAUGGCGGCAGACAAGGGAAGAGAGCUUGUGCAGGGAAACUCCCCCUUAUAGAACCAUCAGAUCUCAUGACACUUAUUAACUAUCAUGAGAACAAGUACAAGAAAGACCUGUCCCCAUGAUUCCAUUACCUCCCGCCAGGUCCCUCUCACAAUACGUGGGAAUUCAAGAUGAGAUUUGGGUGGGGACACAGCCAAACCAUAUCAACGUAUUAUUAUAAGAAAAAAUAUAUUUAACAAGUAAACAAUACCAUCUUACCUUAUAAUUUGAACUUAUAAAAACGAACGUUUCAAGAAAAGAAGUUUCAUAAAGGUUUAUGACAAUUUAUUUGAAUGGGAUUUUCUGUGUCAUUAAGAAAGAUCACAGCACUUUGGGAGGCCAAGGCAGGUGGAUCACGAGGUCAGGAGUUCAAGACCAGCCUGGGCAAGAUGGUGAAGCCCCAUCUCUACUAAAAAUAAAAAAUUAGCCAGGCGUGGUGGCAGGUGCCACUUGGGAGCUACUUGGGAGACUGGGGCAGAGAAGUGCUUGAACCUGGGUGGCAGAGGUUGCAGUGAGCCUAGAUUGUGCCAUUGCACUCCAGCCUGGGUGACAGAGUGAGACUCUGUCUAAAAAAAAAAAAAAAGAAAGAUAAAAUAAUUACAAGAUCUUUCAUAAAAUAGAAAAUAGGAGGGAGAGGACAAAAAUAAUAAUCUAUCACACAUAUCACUGUAAUACAAUCAUUUAGUUAAUGCAUUAAUUUUAUAUAGAAUUAUAAUUCAGGCUUUUCUUAUUGAGUACUAAAGGUAAUACUCAAUAUUCCAUUAGGAGAACAAAUUGCCUAGAAUAAAAUUCUAGCAUUAACAUUAAAUGCCAAUUAAUCAACACAGCUGCCCAGUCUGCAUUUCACUGUUGCGAGAAAAAAAGUAUAAAAAUGUUCAUUUGAUUCAUUGCAUGAAAUACAACACUUUGGUUAGGGGAGAGGGGAAGAAGAUGGAUGAAAUAAAAUCUCAGAGAUUAAACUGGAGGAAGAAUGGUUAAGACGGACUUAAAAGGAAAAGAAAAAUUACUGAGGAGAAAACAAAGAAACAAAAAACAAAGAGACUCUCUGCAGACAACCAAAAAUAUAUAUUCCUGUCUAAAUAAUCAGUGAGACAUUUUAAUUCAACUGAGCAUUUUUUUUUAAUUUUAAAAAAUAGAGAUGGGGGGCCAGGUGCAGUGGCUCACGCCUGUAAUCCCAGCACUUUGGGAGGCUGAGGUGGGUGGAUCACAAAGUCAGGAGAUGGAGACCAUCCUGGCUAACACCGUGAAACCCCGUCUCUACUAAAAAUACAAAAAAUUAGCCAGGCAUGGUGGCGUGCGCCUGUAGUCCCAGCUACUCAGGAGGCUGAGGCAGGAGAAUGGCGUGAACCCAGGAGGCGGAGCUUGCAGUGAGCCAAGAUUGUGCCACUGCACUUCAGCCUGGGCGACAGAGUGAGACUCCAUCUCAAAAAAAUAGAAAAUAAAACUAAAAAUAGAGAUGGGGUCUUGCUAUAUUGUCCAGGUUUGUCUUGAACUCCUGAAGUCAAGCAAUCGUCCCACCUCCACCUCCAAAAGUACUGGGAUUACAAGUGUAAGCCACCGCAUCUGGCUGAACUGAGUAAUUAACUGCCUCCUACGAGCAAGGAUGUACAAGGCUCAUUAAGUACUAAGAAAAUCAUGCAAAAGAGUGUUGCCCUUUUUGAGGUGUCUCUUUAGGAAGGCUUCUGCUCAUCAUUUUGGCCAUGCUGCUAAUAUUCUAAACAUUUCUGGAACUUCUUUUUGGAACUACAUUCAAUCAGUUUACAAACCAACAUAAAGUUUUUAGUCACAGCUAGUACGAAAACAAACAACUUCAAGCCUUUUGACUGCUCUCCUCAUAGUAGCAAUAUUUGGUCAUUUCCUAGUGUCAAUUCCACAGGGUCUUGCUCUGUCACCAGGUUAGAGUGCAAUGACACCAUCUUGGCUCACUGCAACCUCUGCCUCCCAGGCUCAAGCGAUCCUCCCGCCUCAAUCUCCCAAGUAUCUGGGACUAAAGACAUGUGCCACCAUACUGGGCUAAUUUUUAAAUUUUUUUUUGUAGAGAGGAGAUCUCACUAUAUGCCCAGGCUGGUCUUUAACGCCUGAGCUCAAUCAAUCCUCCCACCUUGGCUUCGAAAAGUGCUGGGAUUACAGGCCUGAGCAACCACCCUUGGCCUCAGAUUGAUAACUAACCAUCCUUGAGUCUCAAACCCUGAAAGCAAAUUAGAAAGGGAAGUUCUACUAAAGUUUGGCUCCUCCCAUUAAAGCUAGUGGCUAUGAAUGGGAUAGUCUUAAUUGGGGUUGGUGUAAUUUUGAUAUUCAUUUUUUAAAUUUUGCACCUUUUCUUUUUAUUCCGUCUCUGUUCCUCUCCCCAUCCUCCCUCACUGGUUUUAUAUUUGUGAAAGCUCAUAAACUAAAAUACCAAAAAAGGUAAACACAGGGAAUGGAAAGAAAUACACAGGGAGGCCAGGCGUGGUGGCUCACUGCCUGUAAUCCCAGCACUUUGGGAAGCUGAAGAGGGAGGAUUCCUUGAGGUCCAGAGUUUGAGACCAGCCCAGACAAUAAAGCGAGACCCCUAAGUCUACGAGGGAAAAAAAAAUACAGGGAGAGGGAAAUGAUCAUUGGAAUAAAUUGUUUCCUUGUUGAAUGUAAUGACCGCGCACUACACCGAUCUAAGGACAAACACAGUGCACGGGGAAAUCUGCAAUCCUGGGCUGGAAGAGCUAGUUUCAUGGGAACCCUAAUUCCUUGACACUUGCAAUUAACCAAAGAUAUGCACAUGCCUAAAACCAAAACCUGGUGUGAAUGAGGGGAAGGGAGGAGGAGGGCUGCAUUCCCCAAAUUCUCUCGCUAUUAUUUUCUUUUAGUGUUGAUCUUCCAGACUGGCACAACUCACAUUUCAGGGCACUGAAAGCCAGCUCAUAAGACAAACGCUGAAAGGACUGAUCCUCAGACUCGGACAAGGA
rnacentral:lncRNA from 1 species